rnacentral:lncRNA from 1 species
AUUAGCUAUGAAGGUUUCAUUAUUUCGAGUCAAAUGGUACUUUACCAUUUCCUUGAGUAUAUAUCAUAUAUAUACACUCAAUGUAGUCAUAAGGAUUUUCAUUCUUAGUUCUUUCGAAUUAAGAGGUGCAACUCUAUGACAUAGUCAUAAAGUUCAAACCAUUCAACUGAGACGGUUUAUAAAUCCUUAUCGACUACCUUGGAGCUUUUGGCAUAGGAACUAGGUUGGUAUAUUUGUUGAUUACUAUCUUGUCUCUCAAAGAACCAUUCUUUGAGUUCUAUCCCUCGUUCAUUUGCUCUUAGGCAAAUCACAUUGUAGGAUUACAAUGAACUACCCAACAACAACAUUUGUUAGUUGGUAUAUAGAAGCGAUAUCCAAAAGUUCAUUUAAGGAUAUCCCACAAGAUUGUUAUCAAACAAAUAUUGCUUAUUAGCACACAACCCCAAAUCUUAACAUGUUUUAAGAUUUUGUCUUUCUUUCCAACUACAUCUUAUGGAGUCAUGAAAAUAUUGGAAGAUCUUCUAAUUGACAAUCAUAUUGUCUUAGAAGUAUAUAUCCUAUAUAUGGGUAAUAGAUAACAUCUAACGAACUAAAUCUUAUUCGAGUUCGUUCUUCUCCUAAAGAAGAAAUUCAUUAUCUUAUGAUGCUAUUUUCCUUGAUAUCUUUCAAGGAAACUCAUCUAAAGUGUUACUUUUCCUUGGAUCAAAUCUAAGGAGGUAAAUACUUUAGACGUCUUACUCAUCAACUUACAUUUCUUGAAUUCUUUGAAACCUUUUGCAAAGUAUUCGGACUUGUGUUUAUUCAAAAUAAACUAUAGUCCAACCGAGAGUUAUCUUCGGUGAAUGUCAUCCAACAUGAGUAGUAUUAUGUUGUGGACAAGUGCCACUAACAUCUAAGUGAAUUAACCUCAACAAGUUUGUGAUUCUUUCUUCUUUCCAAAAGAAUAAAGAUUCAAACAUUUUCCCUUCUAUACAAUUUUAAUAAGAAGGUAUUGGAUCCGGAUCUAACGAUCCAAAGCGUCCAUCUAUGACCAACUCGUAAUUUAUGUUUUAGAGGUAUCACAACUUUAGUUGGGAUUAGUCACUACCUUGCAACCUUUUGGGUUUUAAGCAUCAUUAUUUUCUAAACAGUUAACACUACCAUAUUAUCUCUACUUUUAGAGACAAUCAAUUAGAUUACAAUAAUCUAAUCAUUCAUUAAUAAAGAACAAUGUUUUGUCAAACAAAACAUUUAUCCAUUUCACAUAGUGACGGAAUUUAGUUCCUUAAAAUUGGAAUAUAAAGACAAUCUAUGUUUUUCCAAUUUCUUUGGUAGUUCAUAUGAGGAAGUAAGUACCAUCUGCUUUCGCAGAGAUCUAUAUUUGAUUCACGUUCCGAAUGUGAAGCACCUUUUCUUCUCUCAUAUAUAUCUUCUACUUCUUAUUAGUCACACUUUUACAACGAUUGUAAAACAUAGUUACUAAUAUGGAAUCAAGCAUUCAAGUAGAAGAACCAACUGUUUUGAACUUUUCAAGAACAAUUUACAACACAUUUGAAAGGUGUGUUCUUGUCACUUGCAAGACAUUUCUUGCAAAUACCCCUUCCAAUGUCCAUCAUUUCAUAAAGAAAGUUUGUUCCCUUGGAGUUAAUUUUAUCUUCUUCAUUUGACUUCUCCUUUGACUACAAUAGU